CCCCUCCUCCCUCCCCUCCCCUUCCCCCUCCUUCCGCCUCUGCUGUUCAAGCUCUGGAUUACGAGAAUGACCCAGCAGAGGUGUGUGAGUCUUUCUCAGAAAAAAUAAAUCAGUAAGAAAAAUAACCAAAUUCCUUCCUCCCCCGCACAAUGGGAGUCAUACUGAAGGUUUCCUGCCCCCGUGUGAAGCCAGAGCCGCUCAACGUCCCUCCUCCCCCCACUCCUGCAUCUGCCGGAGGGGACUUUGCCACAAGAGGGCAAGAGAGGCCUUUGACAGCAGGGAUGGAGGCCCUGGGCGGAGAGAAGGGGCUGGGGAAGGGCCGACCUGGAGCACACAGGGCCAGGCCCCCAAGAGCAGGGAGCUGCUCCCACCCAAGGUCCCCCCAAGGCUGAGCCGCAGGAGCCACCCCUGAGGGGGAGAAGGAGAGGGAAGCCCUUUGACCUGGGGUCCAGCAGGUGUGCUGUGCGAGUCCCGGGGUCUCGGGAGAUCCCAGCCCUGAGGUGGCCGGGCAGGCAGGUAGUUCUCAAGAAGAACCUAGAGAUUCUUCUGGAAGCUGGAGCUCCAGGAGGAGGUCCUGCUAGAGCCAGGGAAGGAGUGGGGGGAAAGGGCAGCUUUAGGGCCACCUGGCCCCACCUUGGGUCUGCAGAAACAACCCCGGGGUGGGCAGGGAGGGGGUAACUCACUGCGGCCGAGACCCCUCCGAGUCCUUCACCUGGAGAGGUUGGCGGCAGACGCGGUGGGGCUGGGCAGACAGUUGGUGGAAGUGGGUGUGGGUGUGGACGGGGCCGAGAAGCACGCUGAGGCGGGGGCGCACACACCCCCCGGUUCACACUGUUUUCACACCAGGGAUGCCCUGCUUUUCAGUGUUCAGAGUGAGUUACCGGGACCCGUGAGCAAGACGUUUCUGGACGGUGUGGAGCUCCCUAUGUCCUUGCCUGUCACAGUGUCCCGCCGCAGAGUCCUGCUUCUGUCCCCAGAAAUGCAUAGCAGAGCUGACUGCCAGAUGCCCUGGGUCCCUCCUUUGUGGCUCAGGGUACUCCAGCGCCUCGCGUGUGCCUUCCGGGGUGAGCUUCCUGCUGGGGCUGAGCCGGGGAGCCGCCGGAUCCCGGAGACUGUGGGAAGAGCCGUGAGUGUGCGCGGGGGCGGGGAGGGGAUCAGGCCACGGGUGGGGGCCAGGACUGUGGGAAUGGCCCACAGCCUUUCUGGAAUCGAAACACUAGCAAAUGUCAAAACGUGCGUAAUUUGUUUUACAGAAACAGGCUGCUUAUUUGUGUCUGGAAGGCCUGUGUCAAGGAUGCGUCUUGGCCCUUCUCAGAGGAUCGCGUCAGCGGAAACACACACAGAUGGUGGGGGUCUGGGGGCUCGGGACGAAGGGCAGGACAGGAAUUCGUGCGGGCUGCAGGGAGACGCCACCCACGGAGCCCCAGGGGGACGACUCCACGUGACCCUUGCUCUCUCGGUUUGGGGCCCUGGAUCCCGCCACGGUUGUGAAUUCUUCCAGACCUGCCCAGGCGAACUUGGGGGCUGCGGUCAGAUCCCGCCCCUGAGAACCUGGGAGAGAGGCUGGGUGUCCUUUACCCCGUGCUCGGGCGGCCUAGUGCACUGUAGCUGGGGGGCCCGCCGCCCCAGCACCCAGGUGGCCACAGGCUCGGGCUCGUCCCCGCUGCUGGGCCCGUCACUGCUCUUGCGGGCCUCCCCCCGCCCAGAGGCUGCGGCUGAGGCUGUCCUCUGCCACCCUGUGACCACCCGUAAGCUCCGGCUCCUCCCCUCCCGUGGGCUUCCCUUCUCCGCCGGGGACGUCUCCGCUCCCCAACCUCUUCUCGGCCCCUUUCAGAACGUCCAGGCUCCUUUUGCUCAACAAGGUGGUGACAGACACACCACCAGCGUGGGGUGGGCCGCGCAUCCCCGGGCUCGGUGGAAGGCAGAGCAGGCGAGUGGACAGAGCCCGCUGGGCUGGGAGGUUGUCCUUAUCAGAGGCACAGCGAGGGACGCAGCGUCUUGACCGGGCAGGGACCCCGUCCUUGCCGGCAUGAAACGCUGCCAUCGUCAUCUGUCAAACACUCUCUCUGUCUCUGGCCUUUGCGUCCUGACCCGCGGACCUACCUGUCAGUGUCGGCCAGGGACACAGUUCACUCCCCAGGACGGCGCUGUAGCCAGGCCCCUCCGCGCAUCCCUUCAAACACGCCUGCCGGUCGGUCUUGCACAUUGUCUCUUCCCCGCGACGUCAGAAGCAGUGACGUCACCUGUCCCACAGGCAUCUUCUGGGACUGCGCUGGGAGCCUGGGCACAGUCGGGAACACUGCCACUGACGUGACACGGAGUUGCUCAGGAAUGGGUCUCUCGACUUAUUUAGAACUCUGGGGGAAGUUUUCUGGUUUUCUUCUCUGUCGGGUCUUCUCCUCCUGGGCUCAUUCCUGGGCUUUAUUGCCAGCGCAGAUGACGUGCUUUCUCCCAUAAAUGCUACAUAUUGUUUUACUAAAUUGUAUUAUUAUUCUAUACUGACCUUAAAAGUGGCCACUUGUAAAUCUUGCUGUUUGCCAUUGACUUGCCAGUUGGGUUUUCCUAGUCAAGCAGCCCCAGGAGUGUGUGGUUAAGUGUAGCUUAUCUCUGCCUUCCGUGUUCGUGAUCACGUGUAUUUCCUUGUGUUACUGCGCUUGUGCGGAGUCAGAUGUAAAAUCGGGCGUCUUCCUGUUGCUUUCCUUGUUAAGGUUGCGUUUAUGUGUUUAGCUCAGUGAUCGGAAGCGGAGAGCGUGCACGAGCGAGGGAGGAGAGGGAGAAGGACCGGCAGGCUCCCCUCCAGGAACGGAGCUGGACGUGGGGCUCGAUCCCGUGACCCUGAGGUCACAACCUGAGCGGAAAUCAGCAGUCGAGGCUCCACCGGCACAGCCCCCAGGCGCCCGUCUCUUGUUCCCGACGGUAACGUGAAGGGUUCUGAUGCGGGGUCUGCAAACUCUGGCCCGGGGGUCAGAUCCAGCCCAUGUGGCCCCUUUUCCUAAAUAAAGUUCUACCGGCACGCGGCCGCUCCCGUCAUCAAAUACAGCGUAAUGGCUGCGUUCUUGCGUCACGGUGGCCUCGAGUGGGUGGGAAUAGGCCAGCUGGCUUGAGAACCCUGAAAGCUUUGCCCUGACCUUUCACGCAAGUUUGCUGACCCGCAGUCUCGCAUCAGCUCAACGUGGCUCAGGGCUGGGGACUUUCCCCACUUCUGUUUGGUCCCUAAAGGUCUCAUGGCUGCGUGUGUCGAAAUUCAGGAUUCGAUACCCAGUUUUCCCACACGCUUUCUGGGGAACCGACUGUCUGUUGAGAUGGCGAGAGCUUUGCCUCUUUAAUCUCUUACCGUGACGCGUCGUAGGGACGGAUUUUGUGACAUUCCCGGGAUGGACGGCACUUGCUCCUGCUGGCUUCCGUGCUGUUCGUCGCUGCUUUUAUUAGGGUUCGUGCCCUACUGCAAGUCGUGCGUCCCUAAUACGGAUAACGUGUGUCCUAGCAGCGUGCCCGUGUGUGGGAGUGUGAGUGUGUGUGUGAGUGUGAGUGUGAUCCCACCACUGGUUUUCCACUAACUGUACGGACUGAACUGUGAUGCUCCGUCUUCUGGGCUUGGGAGCGAGUAACUCUUGGUAACAACUGAAACGUGUCCAGCAAACAGUUGUGUCCAUUUCCUGUGAAUCACGUCUCUCAUCUACAAGCACAGCCUGUGCAUUAGCUACUGUUUCCACGUUUGCAGGACGGAUGAGGAAACUGAGGCUGCCGGCGUGUGCGUGGCCCGCCUGAGGCCACACGCCGCUGGAGAGGAGUGAAGACGGACAACCCCCCGCCGCGGUCCCGCGGUCCCACGUGCACGGAUUCCUCAGAGAUCGUGGAUUCGUGUGAAGCUGCCGGCGCCUGGAGCCUCUUUAAGGUUAAAGUUUUGACUGUUUUUUCCUGCUCCCAGGCCAUUGGACUAAUUAGAUUUCCUGUUUCUACCCGAGUUGCUUUGUACUUGAAAAAUGUAUUUCCUGAGAAAAUCGUCCAUGGAAUCUAGCUUUUGAAAUGUAUUGCUAGGACCUGGAACACGAUCGUUUCCCGAGAUCCCCCUUCUCUUUCCUCCUCUCUCCCUUUGUUCUGGGGUUAGCGUGGGCCGCCGGUGUGGCCUCUGUCCCAGGGCAGCGGGGCGGCCGCGGCCGUGUGCUCUGUGGGACAUCAGCCGUCUUGCUUUGUGGCAGGGAUUUGCCCAGAACUUGUUUCCAUGCAGGCGAUGGAGAACGUGUCGGACGGCCUGGACUAUCACGGGCACAGACGACACAGAUGCGUUUUCGAGAUUAACCCGUGCACAGCGCCCUGACGUCCCCUUCUCUCGAGUCUCGUUAAUGGAUAGAUCGGGCUGGGGAGGGGAUUGUCAGCGGAGGCACAUCACAAAGUUACAUCCCAACACCCGCUCCAAAUCUGGGAACGCGGAGUUCGGUGG
rnacentral:lncRNA from 1 species